CGUCAACAUGGACGCCUGUUUAUUCUGUAGUUUGGAUAUUCCAUUUGUUUUCUGCUCGGAGGAGCUUUUUGCUUUAGUUUCACUAAUACUGAAACAAGUCGGACAGCCUUAGCGUCAGCGUUACACAAGCUAUGUUAAAGAGAGAGACACGAUGGCAUUAAGUGGAGGCAUUGCUGGAGACUUUACGGUGGUGCGGAACGCAUACAAUCUACAGACUCAGCAGAAACGCCUUCGCCACUUGCGCAGCAUAGCUGUGAGAAAUCUGCACUGUGGAGGUGAAACAAGGGAACAAUAUCCUCAGCUGCAAUGUUACUUCACUCUUCACUCCUGCAGUACUUCUAGAGCAUUUUACACCAGUGAAAAGAUCACAGGCUCAAUGAACCCUUCUUGGCAGAACUUUGAUAUAAGCAGGUGCGAAGAUGAAGUAAACAUUGCAUCCAAAUCACUGGUCUUGCGAGUGUGGGUGGGAAAUGUUGAUAAAUUUCGUCAGUUGAUCGUAAUGAAUGUUCACCUAACAGGACUGUACUUUUUAGCAGAAAAGCUUCAAAACAGCAUGGUGAAGCAUCCUCCAAACACAGUUAUCUUUGGUAUGCUGGAUAAGUUCUUUAUCUACAUCAGCAAAGAACAAGCUGACCUGAAAACCCUGGCCAAAAAUGUAGCGGACUUAGAUUUGCCAUCAACAUUAUUACCUGCUGUUGUGAAAGUUGACCAGUCUCUUGUACGUAACUCAUACAAUACCAGCUCUGUGUCCAGGAUCCAGACUGUUCUGAGAGCCAUCAAGCAACUGCAGGGCCAUGCACAACGCUACCGUAUUCAGAUUGAAGACCGACUACUAGCAUCACAGGAAAACACUAAGCGACUGGUAGAACAGGAAGACUGCCGCAUGAGAGUGAGCCAACUGCGUGAGGAACUUUUCCUCUGCACUUCUCAGCUGCUUACUACACAAGAGAAGUACCGAAUGAUCAAGGAUGCAGCUGUCAUGAAAGAGCAGACUUUGAAGCGAAAGGUGGAAGAUACAACAAAAAUGUGGGAUGUACUAAGUGAAGAUAAGAAAGAGCAUAUUGACAGAAGAGAGCAACUUGUCAAGGAAAAUGCACUGCUGCAUCUUCGUAGGAAACAGAUGCUAAGUGAACUUGUCACUUAUAUCUACCCUAUCACUGAGGUAAAAGGAAAAUAUUUUAUUAAUGGAGUCCGACUUCCACAUGCUGAAGAAAUGCAAGGCCAAGAUGAAGUAAUGCUGUCUGCUGCCCUAGGCAACACAUGUCAUUUAAUUCUAAAGAUGUCACAAAUUCUUGAUCUUCCACUUCGCCAUCCAAUGGAGAAUCGAGGGUCAAGGUCAAUUGUGUUUGACCAAGUGAAUCCCAAGUUAGAGAAGGAACGAGAGUUUCCUCUAUACUGUAAAGGAAAAGACAAAGCUCAUUUCAAGUAUGCAGUCUAUCUUUUGAACAAAAACAUUAGUCAGAUUCGAUAUUUCUUUGGGAUGCCUACGCAGGAUCUACGUCUUAUUCUGCCAAAUGUGCAGACUCUGCUGCAGAAGAUUGGAGUCAGAAUGUUGUGAUAGGAACAUUAUGCAUGCAGUCUGCAAUGACACUGUGCAUGCAGUUUGGAAUGACACUGAUGAAAGAGAUUGUUGAAAUGGCAUUGCUGUGUUUUGGCAAACAUAAGCAGACGGGUCUGUUUGACAUGAUUAACAUUGCGGUCGGACCAGCUUUUGGCAAAUGGAUGAUGAAAAGGAAAAGGAUCAAUUGACAAUAUUGAAGAGUCCAAAAGCCAUGGCAGAAAGGGUUGAGGGUGACAGUGUCUACGUCACAGCUUCCAGUACAACUUCUAGUUUGGCUGGCAUUGAGGCUUUGCUUCC
rnacentral:misc_RNA from 1 species